rnacentral:piRNA from 1 species
UAUCUCUGGGUCCAUCAGAAUCUUGUUC